UAACGCGUGGGUAACCUGCCUUACACUGGGGGAUAACACUUAGAAAUAGGUGCUAAUACCGCAUAAGCGCACGAAGCCGCAUGGAUUUGUGUGAAAAACUCCGGUGGUGUAAGAUGGACCCGCGUCUGAUUAGCUUGUUGGCGGGGUAACGGCCCACCAAGGCGACGAUCAGUAGCCGGCCUGAGAGGGUGGACGGCCACAUUGGGACUGAGACACGGCCCAAACUCCUACGGGAGGCAGCAGUGGGGGAUAUUGGACAAUGGGGGGAACCCUGAUCCAGCGACGCCGCGUGAGUGAAGAAGUAUUUCGGUAUGUAAAGCUCUGUCAGCAGGGAAGAAAGAAAUGACGGUACCUGACCAAGAAGCCCCGGCUAACUACGUGCCAGCAGCCGCGGUAAUACGUAGGGGGCAAGCGUUAUCCGGAAUUACUGGGUGUAAAGGGAGCGUAGACGGUUAAGUAAGUCUGGAGUGAAAGGCCGGGGCCCAACCCCGGGACUGCUCUGGAAACUAUUUAACUUGAGUGCAGGAGAGGUAAGCGGAAUUCCUAGUGUAGCGGUGAAAUGCGUAGAUAUUAGGAGGAACACCAGUGGCGAAGGCGGCUUACUGGACUGUAACUGACGUUGAGGCUCGAAAGCGUGGGGAGCAAACAGGAUUAGAUACCCUGGUAGU
rnacentral:rRNA from 1 species